GGCGCUGUAGCUCAAUCGGUAGAGCGCCAGAACACCCCGCCUCGAGAGGGGGUUCCGCAGCGUGGCUGGAGUUUUCCGCCGGGCAGUGUGCCGCAUCAUCUGCGCAAUCCGGCGUCACGUGUCGCGCUCGAGCGCGAAGACGGGCGUCGCCUGGUGCUGGCGGCUGAGAGAUGCGGGUUCGAGUCCCGCCAGCGCCG
rnacentral:tRNA from 1 species